rnacentral:lncRNA from 1 species
ACACUACCUUAUGUAUACAGUAUACAUAACAUACAUAUACCACACACUACUACAUACUAAUAUACACAUACAAACAGAGCACACACAUCACCACACAUAUUACACACUGCUCAAGCAUACACUAUACACACAUACUCCCCAAGUACACAUACCACAUAAACACCACACAUACCACACAAGGACCCACACAUGUGUUAUAUAUACCACAUUUACACACAAAACACCAUAGCAUACAUAUAACAUGUACAUUCCUCCCAUAUAUCACAUAUUCUACACACUACCACACAUAGACCACGUAUAUACUACACAGACCACACACACAUAUCACCUAUAACAUCAUAUGUAUGAUACACAUGCAUACCUCACAGACACACCAGAUACACAUCAUACACACAAACACCACAUGAACACCUCAAAUAGACCAUAUGUAUCAAACACUCACCAUACAUACACCACACAGUGCUACACACUAUCCACACUACACAUACACACAUCACACAUGUCACACAAACACACCACAUACAUAUACUACAGAAACACAUGACACGAAACACAUACACACACACACCAGAACAGUUAGGGUAAGCACUCAGACUCGUGGAUGCCAGCGAACCCAGCCUCGUCUAUGGAGAAAGAUGUGGAGAUGAACC